UGAUAUUUUGCGUAAUCGCUAUAGAUAAUAUAGAGGAAAGUCCAUGCUCACACAAUCUGAGAUGAUUGUAGUGUUCGUGCUUGAUGAAACCAUAAGUCAAGGCAAUAGUAAUAUUGACGGCAAUGACCUAACCUAAGUCGUAAGAUAAGGUUACAAUAGUUUGAAAGUGCCACAGUGACGUAGCUUCUGUUAGAAAUAACGAAGGUGGAACGCGGUAAACCCCUCGAGUGAGCAAUCCAAAUUUGGUAGGAGCACUUGUCUAGCGGAAAUGAACGCAUAGAUGAGAAAAGGUGAAAUACACUUUUUAGACAGAUGAUUACGACCGGCGUACCAGUGUAACUAGUGCACACGAUGAGUACAAUGGCACAGAACAUGGCUUAUAGAAAUAUCA
rnacentral:RNase_P_RNA from 1 species